AUUGAACGCUGGCGGAAUGCUUUACACAUGCAAGUCGAGCGGCAGCGCGGCCCUCGGGCUGGCGGCGAGCGGCGAACGGGUGAGUAAUGCAUCGGAACAUGCCCAGUCGUGGGGGAUAACACUUCGAAAGAAGUGCUAAUACCGUAUACGUCCUGAGGGGGAAAGCGGGGGAUCGCAAGACCUCGCGCGAUUGGAGUGGCCGAUGUCAGAUUAGCUAGUUGGUGGGGUAAAGGCCUACCGAGGCGACGAUCUGUAGCUGGUCUGAGAGGAUGAUCAGCCACACUGGGACUGAGACACGGCCCAGACUCCUACGGGAGGCAGCAGUGGGGAAUUUUGGACAAUGGGGGCAACCCUGAUCCAGCCAUUCCGCGUGAGUGAAGAAGGCCUUCGGGUUGUAAAGCUCUUUCGGCAGGAACGAAACGGUGGGCUCUAACAUAGUCCGCUAAUGACGGUACCUGAAGAAGAAGCACCGGCUAACUACGUG
rnacentral:rRNA from 1 species